rnacentral:rRNA from 1 species
UACAGAGGUGGCAAGCGUUGUUCGGAAUUACUGGGCGUAAAGGGCGCGUAGGCGGCCGUUUGCGUCGGAUGUGAAAGCCCGGGGCUCAACCUCGGAACGGCAUUCGAUACGGGACGGCUGGAGACCGGGAGAGGAGAGUGGAAUAGCCAGUGUAGAGGUGAAAUUCGUAGAUAUUGGCUGGAACACCGGCGGCGAAAGCGGCUCUCUGGCCCGGUUCUGACGCUGAGGCGCGAAAGCGUGGGGAGCAAACAGG